AUAGUUUUCUUUAAGUAAUUGAAGGACUGACAUGUGGGAGAGCGAUUAUAUUUGUUUUGCUUUACUUCUAACAUGAAAAUUAUAACGAAAAGAAGUUAUAGAAAGGCAGAUUUCAGCUGGGUGGGGUGACACAUGCCUGUAAUCUCUGAUGCUAGGGAGGCUAAGGCUGGUGGUCCAUUAGAACUUGGAAGUUCUGAGCUACAAUGUAUUCUCAACUGAUCAUGAGUUGCAGUAUUCUAAACUGAUAGGGCAUCCAAACUAAGUGUAACAUCAGUAGAGUGAACCACUGGGAGCAGGGGUUGGCUGCCAGGCUGUCUACAGAGGAGCUAAGUGGAUGGACUAUUUUGGAAAAGGAACCAGUCAAAUCUUCUGUACUAAUCAGCAAUGGAAGGAAUACUCAUGAGUAUUCUCACCACAUUCCCCUGAUGUGGUAUGGAGACAAGGAAGCAUUAUCCUUAUCAUGGAAAUGGAGAGGCACAGAAAUUGACUUGCUCUGAAUUACUAUUUAGCAGAAGAACUCUGAAAACAAAUCUAAUAAAAUCUUCACCCCCCCCCCCAAAAAAAAAAAAAACAAACAAAAAAACUGGUGAACUUGAAAGAA